CCCUUGUUAGUUUAGUGGUGAGUAUCCCCGCCUGUCAUGCAGGAGACCGGGGUUCGAUUCCCCGACUGAGAG
rfam:TPA: Bos taurus chromosome 10, whole genome shotgun sequence.